GACAGAGGGUGCAAACGUUGCUCGGAAUCACUGGGCGUAAAGGGCGUGUAGGCGGGUAGAUAAGUCGGGCGUGAAAUCCCUAGGCUCAACCUAGGAACUGCACUCGAAACUGUUUAUCUUGAGUGCCGGAGAGGAAAGCGGAAUUCCUGGUGUAGAGGUGAAAUUUGUAGAUAUCGAGGAGGAACACCAGUGGCGGAAGGCGGCUCGCUGGGACGUUACUGA
rnacentral:rRNA from 1 species